CCUCCCCCCCUCCCGGGUCUGGUAGGGCGAAGGAGCGGGCGCGCGGUCGAUCGAGCGAUCGGUUGGCGGCUCUUUCUCCUGCUCUGGCAUCCAGCUCUUGGGGCGCAGGCCCGGCCGCCGCGGCGCGCGCCCGGUGGCCGUUGGCGCUCGCGCCGCGUCUUUCUUCUCGUACGCAGAACUCGGGCGGCGGCCUAUGCGUUUGCGAUUCGACGAGGAGUCGUCCGGGUGGUCGGCGGCGGCGGGCAGCUGCUCCGCCCCGCUCCCGGGGAGGCGGCGGCGGGAUUUGGCGCGGCCGGGGAGGCGGGGGUGGCCGCGGCCGGCCUGGAGGCCUGGCGCCACCCUUCGGGGCCUGCUAGGACCCAGUUGGGUCAAGAGGGAGCCGGGGGAUGGUUGGUGGUGGGCUUUCUGCUUUGCCUUUUUCUCCUCAUGCCGCCUUAGUGAGGGGCGGGAGCUCUGGCGGCAGCUCCGGGGUGGGGAGACAAGCCCCGGAGUCGGAAGAGCUGGGUUUGCUUCCGGGCCUAGCCACCAGCUGGCCGAGUGACCUUAAGCAAGUCACUCAGUAAUUUGUCUGCGCCUCAGUUUCCUCCUCUGCCUGUCGAUGUUUGUGGGAUUGAAAGCGCUUUGUAAACUGUAAAGCGCCGGUGUACGUGAGGGAUGGUAUUGUUUGUUUGUUUGUUUGAAGUUGCAAGAAAACCUGGCAGUUGCCCAUUCCUUGGUUUUGAACCAGGGAACCUUGGAGUUGGACAUCCUCAAACUCCCUGAAAUCAUAUGCAGAGAUUAGUGGGAAAAUGCAUCUUAGGGGGGUGAGGAUCCUACGCCAGCCAGUUUUCUCAAGGGGGCUGAAACCCAGAAAAGUUAAUCAGAAGUCUUUUAAGCCACAGGGAGGAAACUGAGGCCUAGAUGUCCUUUGGGACCCUUUACAACCAAUUUGACACCCCCCCCCCAUGUGAAUCCCUGAGAUAUGUGAGCUGUUUCUAUGCAUAAUGAAUAUUUUGGGUGACAACACUCCACUGCUUGGCUUCUAUUCUGAGUCCUUUGCUUUCACCAUGGGGUGCCUGAAGGUUGAUCAACCGUAUGGUAUAAUGGCGCCUGUUGAGGGGAAAAAAAGCAGCUAAAACUAGGAGUGGAUGUCUUCUCUAGUACCAAGAAACCAGUUUAAUCUUUGGCCUGACAACUGUUUGCUGCUGCUUAUACUGGUGCCUGAAGACCUUCUGACUUUCACUAUUUCCCACCACCAUCAUUGCCAUCCGUUACUUGCUCCUACUUUAUAACCCUCGCCUGGAUGGUUGGUAGUAAACAGGCUUAUUUUAUUUUAUUUUAUUUUAUUUUAUUUUAUUUUAUUUUAUUUUAAUGGUGCUGCCAAGUCCAGUUAGUUAAUGGUGCAGAUGACUUUUUAGCAAGCCAGCUCACUCAGACUUAACCAGUUGGGGAAUUCCUGAAGCUAAUUGGGGGGUUUGUCUGUAUUCAUUGAAGGUAAAAGUUCUCUGAAAAGUUUUGUUAGAACUGCUGAAUCUCAAAAUCAGUAGAUUUGAAAGUGUUAAAAACCUUGACUGUUUUCCUGGCCUGCCUUGUAUUCUAAUUGCUUGCAAAAGUGUUACUAAGAUGGCCAAAGUGCCACUUUUUGCUUCUUUGUUGUCACCUGCUUUUAUCAAAUUCUAGGCCAUCAUCCAGCAAACACUAACAAUGUUUGAACACUUGGAUUUCAAACAUUUGCAUUUUUGUGGAGUGGUGCUUACCAGUGGUACAGCUCUAAACAAGUGAACACAAACACAUUUAAGUGUAUUUCAUCUGGUUAGGUGAGCCAUUUCUGCUAUUUCAUACAAAAGUCUGAAAAAUCAAUUGACUGUUCCUUUUACCUAAAGGGCAGAGAUAAAAGACCUCACUUCCAGAGAAAUGACUGUUUGGAAGGAGUAUGCGUUGGUCAUUUAGCUCUUUUGUAAUUAAAUCUGGACGUACCUCAAAAGAAUCGAAAGACUGGUGAUAAGAUGCUUUCCUCAGGAGAAAGGAGGGGGGAAAAAAAACAACAACUGGAACUCAAAGCUUGAAAUUCUGUGAAAAACACAUGAGAUGUCCGGGAUAGGAGGUUUCUCUACAGUGUUCUACACUCCCUGAAGCAGAAAGUUCUCAAUGUAGCCAGAGGGUGGAUUCCAGAUUUUCAAGAACUGGACCUGGCGCCUGGAAGAAUUUAUCAGGAUGUGGCAGAAACUCUGGCACUGGAUAUUUUUAUUUCUGAAUUUGAACUGUCAUCUUUGCUUUGAGAAAAGAGACGACGACUGAGCAAGCACUGCCACCAACAAUGACUGUUACUGGGAAUUAGGAACCCCGAGUUUCUGCCACACCCUUGGUAUAAACGGGACAACAUUCCAUCCAAAGUGAACUACGUCCUGUGCCUCCUGAUUGCUGAGUGUUCACCUGGAUCUCCUGAUCACCUUCCUUGUGUUGUCCAUCAGUCUACAGAUCGGGUACCUGGAUUUUUGCCCUUGGUGAUUCCUGCCACCUUACUACUGAAGAAGACACCAUUCCAGUGGACCACUGUGACUAAAGAGGCUUUCUAGCCAUCAUGAUGUGGCCUUCACCUCGACUCCUGUCCUGUUCUACCCAUAUUCAGCACAGCCCAUUAUAGUGAAGUCAAACUCAAGCCAAAUAGUUGAAGCUGUUUUACCACAACAACGGCCCAGUUUGUUCCAUGAGUGUGCAUUUCAUUUUUAAGUUAAGUCUUCAGAGACACAUCAUAAAUUUGGACCAGGGGACUUUCAGUUGUCAACAGAAGAAUGGCAACAUCUUUUUGAAAGAAUUAUUGGACCAUACCCCACACUCAAAUGGUUGAAGUUCAUGAAGUAUCUUGGAUCCCACCGAGGUUACUGGACCAUGUUUUUCCAUUUCACAUCUAUAGUAGCCUACUGAAUGAGAAAGCAGAUAAUCUGACUAUUGGGAUUGAGACAAUGGCACAGUGAACUCGUAGCAUCUUCAUUGGGAUUACUCAGGAACCAGAACUUUUCACACGUGAGAAAUUCUACCAAGGAAUCCCUUUACCUAACAGCAUCUCACAAAACUCCAAUCAGAUUCCAGAAAAGACCUUUUGAUAUAUCCAGGUGGAACCUAUAUGCAUUUGUGAACAACUUACUCUUAAAUCACUGGUUUUCCAAAGGCUCUGUGGCCAUGAAAAUGAAGCCCACUGAAUGAAAACCAUGUGGAUGCCCAGAGUAAAGUGAAGCUGCUCUGGAUGACGCAGGAGUGGGGGGCCUGAAACCAUCAUAAGCAUCUAUCUUUCUUUACCACCGUGGUGAGACCUCAGGAGACUUCCUUACAACAUUACAAUUCUUCAGAGAACAGUUUGAAAACUACUGCCCUUGCAAACAAGAUGUUUGACGUUCUGAUCUGUACCUUUCCCUAACGAGGUGAACAUUUUUAAGAAUACUUACUGUGUAUAAAUUCAGAAAAUUGCAAGAAAGUCAUCAUAUUUUGCCCUCCCAAGUCACUACAUGGACUGAAGGUGAUGUCAGGUGGACACAGAUUAACAGCUUUCUACAUGCAGAUGGACUUCCAGUGACUCCUGGGGUUGGAUACACCCAGAGAGCAGUUCAUACACUGACAGCUGCCCCAAGCCAAUUUCCUUCAUAUACUACAGAUAACUGUCAUGGUACUUGAAAUACAGGACUUUGAAGUCUUGAUCCUCCUUGGUACCUGAAUCACCAGGUGGUGAAGCUAAUGCCUCAUUGAGGCCAUGUUAGAUCAACUUGAACAUUGGACUGCUCAUCCUCAGCUAUGGUACUGUACUUAUGUACAAGGGAUAACCAUUAUGAAAGAAUUCAAAAUACCUGCAACAUUACUUAAAAGAGUACCUGGUUAUCAUCUGUUUCUCAAAAUAUGUCACUAUGAUUCAGCCAAUGGCAGUUGCACUGCUCCUUGGUUUUUAUUCAGUUUAGCUGCUGAUUCCAAGUAAAUGAGCUAAUGACCUUUUAUUAAAAAAAAAUCUUCAUCACUGACAUAAUCUGCCUAUUCUGCUUCAAAAUUAUACAUACUCAGCUCUACACAUAACACUGGAUCCAGAAAAGACGAUCUUGAACAUCCAUUCUUGUGUAUGUGACUUAAAAUAUGGCAAUUAGAAAUUUUUCGUCUAGCCCAUCAGAAGAUGUCUUUUUAAGGUGGAUCUUCUAGUGUCUGGUACCACCAACUAUAGGGGUUAAGAAUAUUUGGAAGUAGACCCUUUGACCAGGCCAUCAUAUGUCUUCUUUGCUGAACAUCUCAAAUUGCAUUAAUAUUUACCUUUUGCUGGAAAUGAACACUGACUUGAAAAAAAUCUACAAAGCCUGCAGUUACGGAUUUUAUCAGACUUAAGAGCUUCAUACUGCUGCUUCCUAAUGUCACAUGAUCACAGCCCUUUGUUCGUGCAGAUGUUUUCUUGCCAUUUCAUCUGUCUCAAAACAUACUGAUUCAGAGCAGCUGGCUUCAUUCCUUGCCGUAAGAUACUUUCAGGCAUUAAGACAACUUAUCUGUUAGUAAAGGAAGGAUUUGAUUUCCGAGACCAGAUCAUAUUAAACAAGUAAACAUUGAUUCAUGUCAUGAGAAAAUCACAUUCCUUCACAGUUCACUUCAGGGCCAAUUGUCCUCAACAAGUAUAAUGCACUGGUUAAAUGUUAGGAACAGUUUCUUUUUGUCUCAUUCUUUAAAUGAAUCGUGAUUACAUGACUCAGUCUACAAAUCAUCAAACACUGUCCACCCUCAACAAAUGAAAACAAAAUCUGGAUAACUAGUCUCUUUAAUAUAUACAACUAUUUUUCAAGAAAUAAUCUACAGACUUUCUCUGCUACCUUCAAAUAGCAGCUCAAUGUUUUCUCUCCUGUAACUUUACAGAAAAACUAAUCUACACUACCAUUCUCUUUAAUCCUGUCAAAAUGAGGGGCUUAUGGUGAGGAUGAUCAUCUGUUAGCCUAAUAUAUUCUAUAUGGAGAAUUGAUGGUUUGAUUAAAAAAUGCCUACAACUCAAACCUGACAUCUGACCUACAAUCUCCAUGCCGCUGAACUCAUCUAAGUAUCUCAGCAUUGUUCAGCCAAUCUGAGACCCUACAGUGAUGAUUCUCAGAUGAGCUGAGUUACAGAAGAUGAAGACUUGAUAACCAAAGAAAGUAGGGCUAACCUUGAUGAACCUGGCUUUCCCAACCCAAUGGCUCCCAGGUAUAGCAUAGGCUUCUAAACACAACCUCAGUUCAGUACUGAAGAUAUAGUAACAGACUUCUAAAUUCAAAGUUUUAGGGCAGAGCAGGAAGUUGAAAGCUACUGCACUUGAUUGACCCGUUAAAAUCAGAAUAAACCCUAUGGAUUAUCCCUGGAUUAAUCAGGGUACAAACUUGUUUACAGAGCUUCGAUAUUAAUCUGCCUGUUCUUCCAGAUCAUAUCCUGAUUACUGGUAUGGCUGGCCCUGCUGAAGGAACCCUACUUGCCUCUCUACCUGACUCUGCUCUUGCCUGCCUUUUUCUUGACUUGCUGCUGCAAUCAGACUGACUUUGCCUUGAGAAGACUACAAUAUACUCAGUUCCACCAAGAACUUUUGAACAGCGACAGCCUUCAUUUCACCUCACCAGGACUUAAGGUUCACAACAGGAAGGAUCACGCUGUACAUUCCUUGACCAGCAGCAUACCCCUCCUCCUCUUUUAAGUGCAGAAUAAGCCUCUAUGCCUAUAUAUGUAUGUAUAUAUAUAUAUAUGUGUGUGUGUAUAUAUAUAUAUAUAUAUAUAUAUAAUUUUCAGCUCUGGAACUCUUGUCUACCAGAACUAAAGGAGUAUAGCAGAUCAAAAGCACUGUUCUUCUCUUGCAAUAAUAAUGAGUCUGAAAUGUACCACUUUGAUUUGACAAAGAUUUAAAGGAACACUAAGCAUUUUCCAUUGAACUUAAAUUUACCGCUGACAUGAAUAGCCUCACAGAACUACUUGCCAUUGGGAGGCUCUUGUCCUGCUUCACAUCAGCAAGAUAAUUGAGCUCUCAGACUCAUGACCACUAAGUUUACUUAUAUAAAACUAUUGUAACAUCCAAAGUAUACUACUGGACAUGAUUUUUCCAUUCAAAUGGAUUACAAACUUUCUGAGGACAGGAUAAACUUAGUCCUCAUAAUGUUUUUCCAAAAACUAUUGUCAAGGAAGUAAUACCAGCUGUUACCAUUCAUCUUUAUGAGCAAAGAUUAAACCAUUUUUUAAUAUCUGGUCUCUUUGGCAUCAAUUUUUGAUGUCUAACCUAUCUCUUUGUAACAACUUCCUGAUGUUUCUCAGAGCCACCUACUUAUUUUCAGGCUACAUUUUUCAGAUCAUCUGAACCCCAACCUUAGAAUUCAUGGAUGAGCAUGUAAUAAAACCUGAUCAGUCUGCAUAGUCCAUCUCCUUGACCAUCAUGACUGGUUCAGGAAUGGUCAUGUGAUUCAAAUUGGUCUAGUGACACUCAGCUGUGGAGUUUUACAGAACUGUGGAGGAGAUGUUCAGAGCUCUGUUUACUGAGGUUGUUUUGUAGGAUUAAAAAAACAAACACAACAGGGCCACCAUGGCAAACAAGCCAGUGAAAGAAUGAAGCCAGUGCAGAGGAAAGCAGAGCCAAAUGAUGGAGAGACUUGAGUCUUGAUGGCAAUGUUUGUGCCCCUGGAUCCAACCGUGCCUGAAGCUAAAUAUCCCCUGGACUUUUCAGUUAUGUGAACCAAUAAAUGCCCUUUUUUGCUUAAGUUA